UUCCGCCUAUGCGCCGAUUUGAUAUCAGCUUGCGGGCGCUUUAAAAAUACCGCUAAAGAGAGCCAACCUGCUUUAGC
rnacentral:ncRNA from 2 species